rnacentral:rRNA from 1 species
AUGCAAAAGCAGAGCUCCUGCUAUUCCCGUCAAAAAAAAAAGCAACAUCCCGAGGCCGACAUCACCAAAGGAAAGAUGGUUAUCUCAUACGAUCACUCCCGAUCCAAUGGCAAACGUGAAGUGACCGUGGCUUCCUGUACCAGGCCGCCCGAGCAGUGGAGCAAGCCACCAGAGGGCUGGGUAAAGCUGAACGUCGAUGGAGCAUGGCGGGAAGCUGAUGGAACCGGUGGCGCGGGGAUGAUACUCCGAGAUCACGUGGGAGCAGUCAUUUUCGCGUCUUGCAGGUUCCUCCCGAGAUGUGCAAGUCCUCUUGAGGCUGAACUAUCAGCGUGCAUGGAGGGAGUUACCCUGGCUCUCGAGUGGAGCAUGGCGCCUCUCGUCCUGGAGAUGGACUGUGCUGCUGCAGUAAGCAUGAUUAAGGAAACAUCAUUGGACAGAUCCCCCAAUGCGUCUCUUGUUGGAGAGAUUAAGAGGAAGCUAGCUGUAGGGAGGGAGCAUGCGAUCAGGUUGAUUCCUAGAGAGCAAAACGGUACCAGUCAUGCCCUUUCGCAAAUGGGAUGCUCGAUUCCACGUACGGCCGUCUGGCUGCGUUCGGCACCUGACGAGAUCGUUGGUUUAUAUUGGGCACAUUGUUGCGAGGCAUUCAGUGGAGCGGAACCUUUACAGGAGGAGCUGGUUUCCGUCCUGCCUUAG